GUGCAGCAGUCGCGAAAACUCUGCAAUGCGCGAAAGCGCGACAGGGUUACCCCGAGUGUCGUCCGCUGAGGACGACUUUUCCCCAGUGUAGAUAGCUGGGGGAAUAAGGAGAGGGCAAGUCUGGUGUCAGCCGCCGCGGUAAUACCAGCUCUCCGAGUGGUGGGGACGCUUAUUGGGCCUAAAGCAUCCGUAGCCGGUCUAACAAGUCCCUUGUUAAAUCCAGCGAUUCAAUCGCUGGACUGCAAGGGAUACUGUUAGACUAGGGGGCGGGAGAGGCCGACGGUAUUCCCGGGGUAGGGGU
rnacentral:rRNA from 1 species